CAGGAAAUCAACAAUGUUUUAGAUCAAAGCUGUUCCAUUUUCCUGGAUCCUAGUGGGGAGCUAACAUGGCGCAGAGCCACAGCCAAUCCAAGGACAUGUGGACCUGCCCUCAGCGUUCUUCACUCCACACGACACAGCCGACCCAGACAUCAUGUGCAGGAGGUACUGGCCAGCAGCCAGGAGCCCUGUGGUCCCUAUGAGGAACCACCAAGGUUCCUGGCCUCGCACCACCAAGGGCAUAUGCACCACCGACUACUUUUCUAGUUUCUGUAAUAUGUAGUGAUGUAGGGCCAUCAAAGUGGACCUUUUCUUGGGCUGUUGUUAAUGUCAAAUUUAAUUUGGCCAAGAGGUCUCACUGAGGGCUGCACUCUCAUCUCAUACUCAAGAUAGUUCUGUGACACGCACCUCUGGAAAGCCUGGUGCCUAGAUGGCAGGGUCCUUCAUGUGGAGCUAUGAAUUCAGAGGAAGUGAUAAGCAGUUGGUCCUGCUUCUCUAGGAAGCCUGGCUUCGUGUAGAGCAAAGGAAGGUGGGGGCCACUUGAGUUACAUCUGGCCCCACAAGCUAAAGGGGACACAGAGGUUCAGGGGACCUCCAUUUUUUUUGUACAAAGCAGAAUGGCAGUGUCUCCGUGCACAAAUCCAUGAAGCAAUAUGCCUGACAUCCAAUGCUUCCCUAGGCCCAAAGAGUCAUUUCAAGUGCUUCUGCAUCUACUCAGGUACCUCCUGACAGCAGGCUUGACACCAGCUACUGUCCAGCUCCCCAGUAAACCAGAUUCCCUCAUUGCUCCUAAUGGGGUCUAGACUGCAGGAGGAGGAAGCAGGUGGGCAAUGUCCAGAUUUCCAUGAUGACCCUCCGAGGAGAUACCCGUGGCUAGGUUACUGCACAACUACAGCAUCACAGAGGAGACUCCAGAACUCAAACUACCAAGGUAGCUCCACAGACUGACUCCCGGUGUGCAUAGAGGGCAGGCAAAUGCUGACUGGAGGGAAGGGUUUGGAGAGUUGAAGGGGAGAGAGACCAUCCUAGUGGGAGGAGAAUGUGAGUGAAGGCUUAUGGAUGAGAAGGAACCAGGCAGAGGGACCAAAGCAGGUGCCCUGACCAAGCAGAAGCAGAACAUCAGGGCGAAAUGUGCUGUAGUAAUGGAUCAGCAGGGUGGAGGCUGAUCUUUGGGAGGGUCAAGAAUCAGGCUAGAAUGUGGUGUUCAUACCAGGGUAUACCACAGGCAACUGCCAUCGUUGUCCCUUAGAUGUACCCUUGCUCCUGGAUACCUGGCUCUGGUUGGCGGCACCCUCAUUCAGUUAGACACUCACACAAGAGCCUUCUUAGAAUCCUUUCUUACUCCUGACAGCUAAUCAAUCAUUGAGUCUUGCUGACUCUUGUCUCCAAGCCUGUCUUAAAUUCAUUUUUCCUGCCAUUCCCCUGGUUCAGAACUCAUUAUCUCUUGCUUAGACCAUGGCUCUAAUAUCCUCAUUGGUCUCCCUGUUUCCAUCCAAAGUCAAUAAAGAUUUGUAGGAUGAAAAAUGCAUGAAUACUGAGGCUUAAAUGGUCAUGGCAGCUCCCCAGUUGGGAAGCCCAGCAAGAAGCUUGUCUACCAUCCACUGAAGACACACAGAAACUUGUCUCUGGAACUGAAAGUACCCUACAGGAGUUAGGCAUUACAACCCAGCUUCCAUUUUAGAAGUGAUCCAGCCUACAUUUCCCUUAUAGUUGGAGAGAACCUGAGUCCCUACAUGGAAGCUGACCCCAGGAUCGGAUUUGCAUCUGGGCCUCACUCAUUUGCUUUCACGCUUUUUAUCUGAGCUCUCCUCCAGUGCAGUUCAAAAGCCAGGCUUCUAAUGAAGAGGCAGGACUGACCCUGCUCAGCAGGGUUAUUGGGACAGGAUUACCAUAGGUGUGGGGGGCAGUGCCAUGGAGAGAAACACAGGCUUCUCUCCUUCAAAGGGCAGCUCCCAACUCCAAAUAAGUCCACACCUUGGGGGAAACUGCCUUGCUGGCUGAAUUAACCUGCCCUUCUGCAAGGCAAGGUUGGCAGCACAGAUGGAAUGAGCUGUGUUAACAUAAGAGAUGCAAUUUUGUUCGAAAAUUUCUUCCUUCAGGAAAUCCUUAUUACACUCCCUAUCUCCCCAUCUCUCCCCAGCAACAUUCAAAAGCAAAUCACAAGUGCAUGCCCUUGGGCCCAUCUGAUCUUUAACAAGCUGAUCCCAUCAUCUCUUCCUAACCUGGAGGAGUUUAGGAAACGAUGCUAACUAACCCACAGUGGCCUGGGGUUCCGUUGACUUAUAAUUCAGGUGCAUGGGGAGCAAAAUGGGGUAUUCCUUCAAAGUAAGAUGUCAUCUUAGAUGACUUCUCUGCUGCAGAAUGGAGGAGAGGACUGGAGGUGGUUUUCUGAAUAUUGCAGAUCCCUUAUAACCAUUUUUGCAAGAGCUGUAUGGAAUAUUGAAGUUGUGGUGAUUUUUCUGAUCUGCUGCAUCAUUCUGGAGAGGUGUGCAGCCCCAUAGGCCUUCCCUGCCAGCCAGGUGACGUGAAAAAUGGAACAUGACAAUAUCAAGCAGAGUUUAUUUCACAUUGAGUUCUAAAUAUUUUUACUUGGUUCCUUGGGUUAGAACAGUGUGGGUGAAGGGGUGUGUGUAUGUGUGUAUAUGUGCUUGUGUGUACGUAUGUGUGAAAGUUGAGGGAGAAAAACUGCCCCAAAGAUAAUAGUGGAGAGGCCCACCUUGGGGGAAGGCAGGCUAGACUGUGCAUUCACAGCCUCCUUUUCUUUUGGAGGAGAUGCAGUUACCUCCAAAUACAAGCCCACUGUAAGAGUAAGCCCUUUCCUAAGCUCCCAAACAUGGCUGGAGAGUCCAGUGUGAGUUCCUGAGUAUUUUGGGAGAGAACAAGGAAGAAAUCAACUAUGUGCAGGAGUAGGAGUGAAGGAGGCCCAUCACCAUGUCAACAGUCUGACUUACUAAGCACAUGAGGCACUUCUCGCCUUAUGAGAUGCUCUUUUUCUCAUUUCACAGACUCACUGAGAGAUUUACAUUCUAGCUCCCGAGGCCUGGAUGGAGGCCUGGAUGGACAGCCUUAGUGGAUACUGAGCUAAAAUGCCCAUCAUUUAGACAGACUUACUUUCAAAUCGUGGCUCUGUUGCUUUCUAUCUGUGUGACCUUAGACAGGUCAUUUUCACUCUCUGGGCCUCAAAUUUUUCAUCUCUAAAAUGGGAUGGGUGACCUCCUCAUGGUGAGGAUGGGAGAACUAAAUAAAGUAAUGCAUGUGAAGAGGCUGGCAGGGCACACAGAGCAGGUGCUCAGUGAAGCUGGCUUUCCUCCAUAUCCACCUUUCAGAGCACCCCUCCAUCAGCUUUGUUUCCUAACUCCUGGCCUGCCUUCUUUCUUGUGGCACCAUCUCACAGCCAAAUGACAACAAGCCCUCUCUGUCCCUCACAAGUGAGUAUCUUCCUUUGUCUACCGUCACCCUCACCCCAAGCUCUUCUCUGCUGUGGGCAGCCAGACUCAGCUUCAUGGGCAUGUGACCUUGUUACCUGGGGCAGUGACUAUGUGACAGAGCUGAAUUUCUACCCUGUCCUAACUUUGCUUAUCUUUAACAAACAGACUGCCUGUGAUAAAAAGUUCCCUUUGCAGCCAGACCAGCUGAGACUGGUACAUAGAACCAAGACAGCCGACCAAAGGACUUCAAAAAGACCUCAGUCUUCAUGAUAAUCUUAUUUCCAUGCUAAAUGAUACUCCCUCCAGCACCAUGACAGUUGACAAUUGCCAUGACAAUGACUGGAAGAAGCCGUAAAAGGACUAAAAGGGAGACGGUACCACUGAUUCCAGGAGGUUCACCACCCACUUCUGGAAAAGACAUGAAUAUUCUUCCGUUUUCUUUUAAUGUCAACUCCUUCAUUAGAGAAAUCCUGUAUCUUAAGCCCCUCACCCUCACUUGUUGAGAAGUUGAUUGUGAGCCAUGCUCCUGCUUCUCAGUUCCACGGCCAUUGAAUAAAGCCUGCACUGCUUGACACUCACUUUUGGUUUUUGUGUAUUG
rnacentral:lncRNA from 1 species